GCCAGCAGCUAUAUCACACUGCAGGUAUGAGCCUGGCUAGUACCUGGAUGGGAGACCUCCUGGGAAAGCUCAGGUUGCUGUUGGAA
rnacentral:rRNA from 1 species